AUUGCUAAGGAGGCUCGUGUCCAGUGCCAAAGACUGCAAUACCAGCAUCUCUGAAAUCGAAAGAUUAAAUUUAACCAUCUCACUGUCUUGAAGAGAGCCUUUGCAGCACAAGAUGUUUUUGAAGUGCACUUCUAAGUUACAUCCGGAAAUACAGGAGAUUUCGAUAGAGAAGAGCAAUUUUCAAAAUGGCACCUUGCCUUGGGCACGACUACCAGAAUUGCACUCUGGAAAACCCUGAAGCUCCGAGAAUCUAAGCCAGCCUUUGCGCCAUCAAACACACCUGCCAGUCUCAGGAGCCUCUGCCCGCCCCUGGGGCCCUGUGUCCCCAACCCUAGAGUGUUUCGGGGACUCCCACCUGCCGCAGCUCCACCGGCGCUCAGUGUGAUGGUAACAGAAGGCUCCCUGGGCUAGUGUGCUACAAUGAGUGCAGGGGAAGCCGAGAGGAGCCUAGAGGAGCCAAAGGCAGCUCUCCAGCAUGUCAUGUCGAACUUGCCGUGCCGCUGGCUUUCCUGCUCACUGUGUCCAUCCGAUGGACUCUGAGAGCCAAGAGGAACUUUAAGGGGGAUCUCACUCAACCAAGUUCCCUCCCCGUGGCUUGAAUUCGCCUCUACAACAUCCCCUCCAAGUGGUUGCUCAGUUUAUGCACAGCAAGGGCAGGAAAAAGCCAGCAGAGAAGCUUCCAGCAUACACAGGGGGCAAGGCCAAACACGGGGCAAAUGAAACACCAGGAAAGGAUGCUUGAGUUCUAGGCUGUAACUGUGGCAUUUACAGCCGGGACUCGAUUGUCUGAACUGGAAAGGUGACAUGAACAAUGGAGAUUCACAGACAGACCGUCCAGUUAAGUUGCUAAAUCCCACUUUAGCAAACAGAUUCAAUCGAAAGCACGUAUUCAAACAAAUAUUCAUCUUCUUGUUCAUAGCAACACCAAUCCAAUAGCCCAAAGAUGGAAAGAGCCAAAUGCCCAUGGAUGAAUGAAUGGCUAGAUGACAGGUAGUGUCGUCAUCCGAUGGGACAGUAUUCCGCCAUAAAAAGGAACGAAGUCUGUGCACGCUACAACAUGGGUGAACCUGGAGAGAUGCUGAGUGAAAGAAGCCAGUCACAGGAACUGCUAAUGCUAGCGAGCUUCCUUGCUGUUAUGGACUGAACGUUUGCCUGAAGGAAGGCGGCUGCCCAUAAGUCAAGCAAGAAACAGGUUCUCAUCAGGAACCAAAUGCACCUGUGCCUUGAUCUUGGACUUCCCAGCCUCCGGAAUGAGGAAGAAACCCAGCCCACAGAGGAUAAGUGACCUGCCCAAGGAUGAUUCUUGGUACUGGAGGUGUUCCCGAGGCUAAGAGCACAAGCGAGGUCCCGUUCAGGAAGGCUCUACCCUCCUGACCUAGUCACCUCUCCAAGGCCUGCCUCCUGCUAUCCCCGCCGUGGGGGAUAUGCUGGCAACAGGUGAAUUUGGAGAAGAUCCGAAUAUUGAGACCAGAGCCCCCAGUACUGAUGGGAUUACGUGUAGCCUUGGGGGCGGUGAAUUCCACGCCCAAACCCACAUGAGUCUGCGGCACCGAAGGACCCCGUGUCAGCGCCAACCCCACUUACAAGGCACUUGGAUUGGAGGUUGCCCUUCCAACCAGUGCCCCUACUGCGGUGUUUAUGGCUCCCAAGGGCCUUCAACCAGGCCAGCAUUUAGUAGGUGCUGCGAAUCAUCCAGAAUGGAGGGGACUUCACUGGUCUUGCUGGGGGGCGUGGGCUGAGCACUUGGGGGUGGGGGAUCCAUGGCUAGGAAUAACCACACAGGUCAUCCGGAGUGCUUGCCGGAGCUGGGCACUGUCCCAUGGGCUUUUUAAUUCCCUGAGUGACGGGACUGGGUGUAGUGGACACCCCAUCUUACAGAAGAGAAACUCCGAGAUGUUCCAUGACCCCGGUCACUCGCUAGUCCCAUGGACUGUUUGAUGCGAUCAUUUCAGUUUUCUCUUUCAGCAUUUUAUUUGCAUUUUCCUCCCUCAAACAGGGGCAGCAAGGACGAAGGAAUCCGGUUUUCUGGUUUUUGUUUUGCUUUGAUGGGAAACACGCUUUGUCGUGCUGUCUAUUUCUGUUGCUUUGUUGGAGCCUUUCCAUCACCCCACGUCUUGGUCUUAGGAUGCUUAUUUUAUUUUAUUUUUUUAUUUAAUAAUUAUUGUUUUGGAUUUUAUUUACUUGUCAGAGAGAGAGAGUGCGCAGGCAAGCCCGGGGAGCAGCAGGGUAUCUCGCUGAGCAGAGAGCCUGAUGCGGGGCUCGAUCCCAAGACCCUGAGAUCACCGCCAGAACCAAGGCAGACGCUUCACCGACUGGGCCAUCCAGGCGUCCCAGGAUGCUUGUUUUACAGAUGGGAAGACUGAGGCCGUGGCCAUCACUAUGGGCAAGUGCCUGAACUGGGAUGGCAUCCAGCUCCCCUCUGGUCUGGCCCCGAAGCCUCUCUUCUCUGCUGCGGGAAAGGCCCUUGGUUAGCAGGCUUUCAGAUGCAAAUCAAACAAUCAGGCCCUUUCUGCCCCCUUCUGACAGACAAAACCGAAAAGGGUGAGUGCUGAGGUUGGGCAGAAGGCAGGGCAAGGAGAGUGAGAGUGGCGCUCGCUUGCCCUUGCUGGAAGUGUAAACCGGUCAAGAUUUUUCAGGGGUACCAGCCACUCUCAAAAUCAAAACAGCAUUUCCAGUUUGAUCCAGCAGUUCCACUGUUAGAAAUGUUUUCUAGGGCCGUAUUCGGACAGAUACACCAAGAUUUGUCUUAUAUUCGUACACACCCAGAUAUCUUUUCCCCAUGACUUCCCAGUAGCUUUUCCCUAUAGCUUUCCCCACAGCUUCCCCAUAGUUAGCUCCAUUGUAGGUAACAGGAAACACUAGAAUUAACCUAAGUGUAUGUUAAUUAGAUGAGUUAAAUACACGACAGAAAUUUAUGCAGCCCUUACAAAAUGACUGAGGGGCGCCUGGGUGGCUCAGUUGGUUGAGCAUCUGACUCUUGGUUUUGGCUGAGGUCGUGAUCUUGGG